rnacentral:rRNA from 1 species
UACGGGGGGGGCAAGCGUUGUUCGGAAUUAUUGGGCGUAAAGCGCGCGUAGGUGGCUCGUAAAGUCGGCUGUGAAAGCCUGAAGCUUAACUUUAGAAAGUCAGUCGAUACUCACGAGCUAGAGUUCGGAAGAGGUAGCUAGAAUUUCCGGUGUAGCGGUGAAAUGCGUAGAUAUCGGGAGGAAUACCGGCGGCGAAGGCGGGCUACUGGGCCGAAACUGGCGCUGAGGCGCGAAAGCUAGGGGAGCAAACAGG